GGCAGCAGUCUGCAGGGUUUGACGCAGGACGAGUCUGAGUGCCUUCAGUGACCACAGACAUCACACACAGUUAUUUCAGUAGACAGGCUCAAGGAAGCACAAAGAGACCAGGACAAAAGUCAGAGGAUGUGGAAAACAAACAUUCAUGAUGACAGAAGCGGUGAAGACAAAUUCACUUGUUGAUGGAGACCAGCAGACUGUGGAUUUAGGAGAAAACCGUUAUCGAGUCCCACCUUCGCCCUUGAAACGGACAUCGAUCUGGCAGCCAGAAGAUCCGUGACCCUGGAGGACGAUCAAUGACCUGCGCUUCACUCGCUCAACAUCAGCUGAGGAUUAAACCAUUUCCCUGCACAACACAAUUAACUCCAAUAAACCUCAAGUCAAUACUGAGGAGCAAAAUACACAUACAGCACAGAACACUGGAGGAAACACUGAAAAAACUGUAUAGGCAUAUUUUACAAUUUAUAUAGCUGUAAAAUAGCAGUUUACAAUUGUU